UCUUCAUUCCUCGCACUCACUCACCGGUCAGAGACGCGAGUUAGUGUGUGAGAUGAAGAGA
rnacentral:pre_miRNA from 1 species